UCCCUGUUGGCUCAGAUGGUAAAGAUUCUGCCUGCAAUGCAGGAGACCUGGGUUCGAUACCUGACUGGGAA
rnacentral:tRNA from 1 species